CCCGCCGCUUCCGGUUGCUCUCCCCCUAGCUCUCUGCUGGGCUCCUGAGCUGGUGAAGCUGCAGGAGGUGAGAGGCGGUGAGUUCGUGCGUGUCACGGGCAAGGGGCCCGAGGAAGCAGGCCGGGGACGGGUUCCAGAGGGGCGUCUUCGGACCGCGGUGCCCUGCGUGCCACUGUCUCACUGCCCUGCAGUGUCAGUGCGUCCUUGGAGAAGAUGGGCAAGGGUUGCAAGGUUGUCGUGUGUGGGUUGCUGUCUGUUGGGAAAACUGCAAUUUUGGAGCAACUCCUUUAUGGGAACCACACUGUUGGGAUGGAAGACUGUGAAACGCUAGAAGACGUGUACAUGGCCUCUGUGGAGACAGACCGUGGGGUGAAGGAGCAGCUGCACUUGUACGACACCCGAGGCCUGCAGGAAGGCGUGGAGCUGCCAAAACAUUAUUUCUCCUUUGCUGAUGGCUUUGUUCUUGUGUACAGUGUGAAUAACCUGGAGUCCUUUCAAAGAGUGGAGCUUCUGAAGAAAGAGAUUGAUAAGUUCAAAGACAAAAAGGAGGUGGCAAUCGUUGUGUUAGGAAACAAACUGGACCUUUCUGAGCAGAGGCAAGUGGAUGCUGAUGUGGCACAACAGUGGGCAAGAAGUGAGAAAGUGAGGCUGUGGGAGGUGACAGUGACAGACCGGAGGACACUGAUUGAGCCCUUCACCUUACUGGCCAGCAAGCUUUCCCAGCCCCAGAGCAAAUCCAGCUUCCCUUUGCCGGGGAGGAAGAACAAAGGCAACUCCAAUUCGGAAACCUGAGCCCAGCCUCAGGUCUGCAGCCGAGGCUGAGUUAGCGCCACUGCUGGCCUGCAUGGAACCCCUAUGCGAUAGCUCCAGGAGACUUGAGAGAUGGCUCAGAGGUUAAGAGUACUGACUGCUCUUCCAGAGGUCCUGAGUUCAAUUCCCAGCAACCACAUGGUGGCUCACAAACAUCUGUAAAAGGAUCCAAUGCCCUCUUCUGGUGUCUGAAGACAGCUACAGUGUACUCAUAUACAUAAGAUAAAUAAGUCAUAAAAGACGAAAUGUGCUGUGUAAUUACCAGUCCUGGCAUACGUAAGUAAUGAGUAUUCCUUAACCUGCUUUGAGAAGCAAAGACUGCAGAGAGAAAAUGAACACAGCAGGUCAGUAGUUGUUCUUAAUAUUGUUUAUUAGUACAGUAACAAAUGCAGACAUAAGAAGUCUAAAUCAACCAAUCGACUGAACAGUUCCUAUUCCACACUUACAGUUAACAGCUUAAGGUAUUUCACUACAGGUUUCCACAAAUCCUGAUUCAACCCUUGAAGUAAUUUGCAUAUAAAAUAAAAUACAUUAACUACAGGUUUCCUACUUGGUGUCUGUAGCCUGGUAUCCAUUUUAUAUAUAUGAGGUAACAAACUCAUCUUUGAAAACUGGUUAAAUACCAUUGUUUCCUUCUAAGAAGGAAAAACAAAUUCCAAUUUUUCUGAACAAGAAAAUAGGACUUUACAUAAAUGGCCAUGUAUGUAACCUAUACAAAUGUAAGCUGAUUUUGAAA